ensembl:lncRNA
CAUGACAGAAACUUCAAAUAUAAAAAAAUAUUUUGAAGGCGUUCCUCAGGGAACCAUCUCGGAGCUCUUCAAGUUUUUUUUUACCCAGUUUCUAGGUCAUGAAUAUUUGGUGCCUUUUUUACUAAUGAAACAUUAUGCAAAAGCUCCUAAGCUGCUAGGGUGACUCUUACUACAGAAACUGGGCAAUAUGGCUACAAGUGUUGUUUUGUUUUCAUUUUAAUCUUCUUUUUCUUUGGAUUUUUUUUAAUCGUAAUACUUUGGGUGGCAACAGCUAACAAUGAAAAUAGCUCAAAUGUUACUCUGAGUUGACCAACAGAAGUCAGUUUCCAUCUUCCAGUUAGUUUUAUGUCAAAGUUGAAGCUGUGAUUCUAAUGUGGAAGAUUUUAUUUUCUGUCACAGUGUACAAUAAUAACCUCUUCAAGCUUUUAGGAGAAGAUAAUUUAGCCGCUCAUAUCAUAUAUAAUAUACAGAUUUUAAAUACAGCUUAACUGUUAUAUUUAAAGAGGACCUUUUAUUAAUUUCCUGUCAUAUUUACUGUUUAAACAGUGGUUGCUCAUAAUUAAAAAUGGCCAAUUUGUGGGUUGAUUUGGAUGCUUUUACUUGUGGUUCUUCUACAUAUUCUACCCACUGAAUUUGAAAAGAGGCAGGCUUUAAAGGGGGAGGAGCUUAAAAGGCUUGUUUUAGGAGGAUGAAUGAAUUCAUCAGUAAGGCCCAGGAUCACAUAAAUAAGGAUUCUUUUGAACUGCCAGUCAUGGAAAUGGACACUACUAGAGUCCAAGAAUGAAAUUAUGAUGGAAAUAAAUAGAUCUGGUUUUUGAUCUGUUUAGUGUUGAAUUAAAACAUUUCUCAGCAUUGCUUCUUUUUUUUAACAUUGAAAAUAAAGGUUUCACGUGUUGACCAUCCAGAUUUAAGGCAAAACUUCUAUUUUGGGGCUUUGAUCUGAAAUAACAGAUUAUAGCAUGCUGAAUCUGCUGAAGAUGAAGCUGGUUUUUGUUUUCAGUAGACUUCUUGUUUUGUUUUUUUUGUUUUUUUUAUUUUCAAAACUUAUCAGUGGAUUAUCAGAGCCUUAGCGUUUAUGAUUGUUGAAGUAUUUUUCUAGUAAAAACACCAUUUGUAAUUAAGGAGCCAUUAGUGCCUCUUUAGAUAUUUUGAUUUGUAUACAUUUCUAACGUUAUCAGGGACAUGAAAGUGUUAAAAAGAAGAAAAAAAUGCACAUUUCUUUUUAACAGAGGGAACACGGCAAAUAAAAACAGUGAAAUGAUUAACCAGUGUUUUAGUACAAGGAUUAUGAUUUUAUGAUUUCAGAAAGCAGUUCAAAAGCUACUCUACCUGAAAAUAUGCUGCAUCCUUUUGUAAUAGCUCAGAAUGUAAACACUUUGAUUUAUUCUUUGUGCUAAAAACACAAAGUAAAGAGAAAAACUUGAACCCUGACACAGAGUAGACUUGGUAAAUAUAUUAUGGGGUGGAACAAUUCUGAAUCCGAAACUGAAAUCGGGAUAGAAGCAUCCCCAGUAUUGCAUUAUGGUUCCAACUUGUCGUACUGUGGAAGCUGUGAUGUUUAAACAUUGAGGUAAUAAAUGAACUGGAAGCAUAGCACAUUUAGUGUAAUUCAUUUCAUCUCAUGAUCCAGUCAUGAUCGAGUGAUCAGGCCACUGUAGCUAAUUGUGGUUUCAGUCAAAUCUAUUUUACACCCCUAAAAUAGAUUUAGAAUUAACUUUGAUAACAGAUUUAACGGAUUUAAAUACAUUUGAAGUAUCUAAUAUAAGGUUUAAUUAUCUUUGUCAUUUGGCAGAUUUGUCUGCAGGAAGCUGACAGAAAUUUUAGGUAUACUUAAAAAAAAAUUUUUUAAAAAUGAUUACUUUCUCAUCUCAAGUAUUUGUUUUUCUUUUUAUUAAUGGACUCAAGAAAAUGUAUAUUCUCUUAAGAAAUUCUUUGCAGGUUUAAGGUUUCUAUAAUGAAAAAUUUCCCGAGGGCGUCCCUCAGGGAACCUUUCUGGAUCCACUGAUAUUCAAGAACUGUGGACUUAAAUGUUGUUGUUUUUUUGUUUUUUUGUUAAGUCUUAACUUUUCUAAAGGGUUUUUCUAAUUCACAUUAUUUGCUUUUAUACAAACGAAACCUUAUGCAAGCAUUAUAAAAGAUUCUCAGCGUGUAUAGAAAAUUUUUAAAUGUGUUUGAGAAAAUCUAUAAUGUGUCAUUUUAAAAGUGAACAUAAAUCUCUUUACUUUAAAAAAAAAUAAAGUUUAAAUGAACACACAAUAGAAAACAAAGUUGCUUCAUUGUGAAUGCUUUUGGAGGGAGUUUGUGUUACAGCUUUACUUUUUUUGGUAAGUGGCCUGUAUUUGUAUAGUGCUUUACUAGUCCCUAAGGACCCCAAAGCGCUUUACACAUCCAGUCAUCCACACAUUCACACACAGGUGAUGGCAAGCUACAUUGUAGCCACAGCCACCCUGGGGCGCACUGACAGAGGCGAGGCUGCUGGACACUGGCGCCACCGGGCCCUCUGACCACCACCAGUAGGCACCGGGUGAAGUGUCUCGCCCAAGGACACAACGACAGAGACUGUCCAAGCCGGGGCUCGAACCGGCAACCUUCCGAUUACAAGAUGAAGUCCCAACUCUUGAG